rnacentral:rRNA from 1 species
AUUGAACGCUGGCGGCAUGCCUUACACAUGCAAGUCGAACGGUAACGCGGGGCAACCUGGCGACGAGUGGCGAACGGGUGAGUAAUGCAUCGGAACGUGCCCAGUAGUGGGGGAUAGCCCGGCGAAAGCCGGAUUAAUACCGCAUACGACCUACGGGUGAAAGCGGGGGACCGAAAGGCCUCGCGCCAUCGGAGCGGCCGAUGUCAAAUUAGGUAGUUGGUGGGGUAAUGGCCUACCAAGCCAACGAUCUGUAGCUGGUCUGAGAGGACGACCAGCAACCUUGGGACUGAGACACGGCGCAGAAUUGUACGGGAGGCAGCAGUGGGGAAUUUUGGACAAUGGGGGAAACCCUGAUCCAGCCAUGCCGCGUGCGGGAAGAAUGCCUUCGGGUUGUAAACCGCUUUUGUCAGGGAAGAAAUCUUCUGCGCUAAUACCGCGGGAGGAUGACGGUACCUGGGGAAUAAGCACCGGCUAACUACGUGCCAGCCGCCGCGGUAAAAC